ACUCAUUCUUUGCAGAGGAAAUACUAUGUCACAAAGGUGGUUAUUCCCAGGGGGAGGCUCAUCCAUUGCACUUCAGGUAUGCUGCUGAUUCCUGUGAUUUUCCCCCCAAAUGUUGGGAACUCAACUGCAUAAUUUGUGUUAAUGGGAGAUUGCACUUGUGAUUUUCCUGG
rnacentral:snRNA from 1 species